UACGGGGGGGGGCAAGCGUUGUUCGGAAUUACUGGGCGUAAAGGGCUCGUAGGCGGCCAACUAAGUCGGAUGUGAAAUCCCCCAGGCUUAACCUGGGAACUGCAUCCGAUACUGGAUGGCUUGAAUCCGGGAGAGGGAUGCGGAAUUCCAGGUGUAGCGGUGAAAUGCGUAGAUAUCUGGAGGAAUACCGGUGGCCGGAAGGCGGCGAUCCUGGACCCGGCAUUG
rnacentral:rRNA from 1 species